AUGAAAUGCAGCUGGAACAUCCUCUUCUUGAUGGCACUAGCUACAGGGGUCUACUCAGAAGUACAGCUGCAGCAAUCUGGGCCUGAGGUUGGGAGGCCUGGGUCCUCAGUCAAGAUUUCUUGCAAGGCUUCUGGCUACACCUUUACAGAUUACUAUAUGCACUGGGUGAAGCAGAGUCCUGGACAGGGGCUGGAAUGGAUAGGAUGGAUUGAUCCUGAGUAUGGUAGUACUAAUUAUGCUGAGAAGUUCAAAAACAAGGCCACACUGACUGCAGAUACAUCCUCCAACACAGCCUACAUCCAGCUUAGCAGCCUGACAUCUGAGGACACGGCAACUUAUUUUUGUGCUAGACACAGUGUUGCAACAACAUCCUGA